rnacentral:pre_miRNA from 1 species
AAUAAGUUUAUUUUUAGUUGUUAGAUACAAUGUUUUGACUUUUCAUCUUAUUUGAAAUUUUUUAUGAUUAAUAUUUUUAUUGUUACUAUACGGUAAAACAUAAAUAAUACUUUAUGCAUGACUAAUUUUUUAAGUUUUUUUACAAAUUUUUUAAAUAAGACAAAUGAUCAAAUUUUGGACAUAGAAAUCGAAAAUUAAAGUUAUU